UACGUAGGGGCCGAGCGUUUGUCCGGAGUUAUUGGGCGUAAAGCGCGCGCAGGCGGCCUCGCGCGCCCCGACGUGAAAUCCCCCCGGCUCAACCGAGGAAUUGCGCUUCAAACCGGCGUGCUUGAGGAAGAUAGAGGUGGGCGGAACUGAUGGUGGAGCGGUGAAAUGCGUUGAUAUCAUCAGGAACACCGGAGGCGAAAGCGGCCCACUGGGUCUUAUCUGACGCUGAGGGACGAAAGCUAGGGGAGCGAACGGG
rnacentral:rRNA from 1 species